UACUACUUAUUAUCAUGAAUCUACAUUUACCAGAAGAAUCAAAAGUUAUUCAGUUUAAAUAUCAAAUCUAGAAUGGAAUAGCAUCAUCUGUGUUCCAAAUUUAAGAUUGCUUAAAGUUGAUUGCAACAUAUUAGGACAAAACCAGAAAGUAUUUUUCAGCUAAACAUCUUAAGUAAAAGCAAAAAAAAAAAAGAGACAGGUUGGGUUGUUUCAACUUGUCUGUCAAGGGCCAUGCCAACUGCCUUAGAUUCCUCAGAUUCUUCAAUGUCCCUCUGAUGGUACUGGGCGGUGGAGGUUAUACUAUAAGAAAUGUCACUAGGUGUUGGUGUUAUGAGACAGUAGUUGCAGUUGGGAUAUAACCUGAAAAUAAAUUACCUUACAACGAAUAUUAUGAGUAUUUUGGCCCAGAUUAUACUCUUCAUGUUGAACCACACCCCAUGGAGAAUCAAAAUUCACCUAGGGAUCUGGAGAAGAUCAGGAUCAAAGCGAAUCAGAUAUGAUCCUUCCCAUGUGCUCCUAAGGUUUGGUCCUGCCUACACUACCUAAAUUAUCGAGCUGUGGUAGCAGCCACUAAUGAUUGCAUUAGGUUAGGCAGUCAACAUCACACUUCUCGUGGGUGCGGGGACCUGCUAAUGUGGGACAGAUACUGUCUGUUAUUGACAAUAUCGACUUUGGAGGUAUAGAGGACAGGAAAAGGAAGAGGAUUACUUGGUUUGUGCGCUACUGUGCUAAA